UCUUAUGGAUGAAAAUAGAAAGUGGUUUCUUGAAAUGGAAUCUAUUCCUGGUGCAGAUGCUAUGAA
rnacentral:pre_miRNA from 1 species